rnacentral:rRNA from 1 species
UACGGAGGUGGCAAGCGUUGUCCGGAAUUAUUGGGCGUAAAGCGCGCGCAGGCGGUCCUUUAAGUCUGAUGUGAAAGCCCACGGCUCAACCGUGGAGGGUCAUUGGAAACUGGGGGACUUGAGUGCAGGAGAGAAGAGUGGAAUUCCACGUGUAGCGGUGAAAUGCGUAGAGAUGUGGAGGAACACCAGUGGCGAAGGCGACUCUGUGGCCUGUAACUGACGCUGAGGCGCGAAAGCGUGGGGAGCAAACAGG